rnacentral:rRNA from 1 species
GAAUAUUGGACAAUGGGCGAAAGCCUGAUCCAGCCAUGCCGCGUGUGUGAAGAAGGUCUUCGGAUUGUAAAGCACUAUAAGUUGGGAGGAAGGGCAGUAAGCGAAUACCUUGAUGUUUUGACGUGACCGACAGAAUAAGCACCGGCAAACUCUGGGCAAGCAGCAGCGGUAAGACAGAGGGUGCAAGCGUUAAUCGGAAUUACUGGGCGUAAAGCGCGCGUAGGUGGUUCGUUAAGUUGGACGUGAAAUCCCCGGGCUCAACCUGGGAACUGCAUCCAAAACUGGCGAGCUAGAGUAGGGCAGAGGGUGGUGGAAUUUCCUGAGUAGCGGUGAAAUGCGUAGAUAUAGGAAGGAACACCAGUGGCGAAGGCGACCACCUGGGCUCAUACUGACACUGAGGUGCGAAAGCGUGGGGAGCAGACAGG